GGGGCUGUCUCUUCACUCUCCCUCCGGUCAUGAAAUAUGCUGUGGUUGGGAUGCUUGUGAUCGGUUGCCUGUGCGGUUCUACCCUCUUGCGGGUAGCGAAGUCGUCCCUCGAUGGAUAUUUGCUUGCCUUUUCUGACAUAUUCUGUCGUUUGGGCAGCCGAAAUGUUGGCAAAAUCCCUGUGUUGGUGCGUGGUCAGAUGCUGUGUUGCUAUCACUCGGAUUUUUGCCGGCUCUCACGGAUGCGGUGCCUAUUGCUAGCUUUGCGGGGCUCUGCCCCGCAGACUUCGGGAGGUCCCUUGUACGAACCAUUGCUCUUAUACGCCGUUUGUCGUGUUGCCGGUGGCGACACGCAGAUCGUGUUCUGCCGUGUUGUAGUUAACGACACGCCAGAACAAAGUGUCCGGAGCGUGGUCGCGUGCAUGCGGGCCGCCUCUCGUCCGUGUGAGCAGCGAUUUCCGGUUCGCGUCGUGCGAAGGCCCGCCUGUCCGGGUCGGUGCUGGAGCCGAUGUGCCGGCUCUA
rnacentral:misc_RNA from 1 species